rnacentral:rRNA from 1 species
UACGUAGGGUGCAAGCGUUGUCCGGAAUUAUUGGGCGUAAAGAGCUCGUAGGCGGCUUGUCGCGUCGGCUGUGAAAACCUGGGGCUCAACCCCGGGCCUGCAGCCGAUACGGGCAGCUAGAAUUCGGUAGGGGAGACUGGAAUUCCUGGUGUAGCGGUGAAAUGCGCAGAUAUCAGGAGGAACACUGGUGGCGAAGGCGGGUCUCUGGGCCGAAAUUGACGCUGAGGAGCGAAAGCGUGGGGAGCAAACAGG